UUCUUAGGUUCUUGUCCAUCUUCUUUUUUUUUUCUUUCUUCAUUUUAUAGAGAACAUUUAAGAGAGUGUUUGGAAGGAAGAAGAAGAGGAAUUUUACUAGAAUUUUGAGGUUGAAGAAGAGAAGGAGAACUCAAGCAAAGUGUAUUCAUAGCUGAAUCUUGGUUCAUUCUGCACAUCACUGGUUUUUAAUUCGGUUUAAACUCUUCAAAAGGAAUUAGGAGGGCAGUUGAAUUUCACGCGAAAUCAGAAGGUCUAUUGUUUUUCUUGUAUUUCAGAUUGUACCAGUGGAGUUAGGAUCUUUAUUUGGGACAAGUUAAAGAGGUCUUGUGCGCGCGAUUCUUGAAGGUUUUCUGUUUCGAGGGUUAUCUGAGUUUAUUCACAGGGAAUCAGAUUUACAUGUCUUCAGGUCGAGAAGAAUUAAGCCGAGCUUAUAGACCAAGAAUCUAGCCCAAGACUGUAGAGAUCGAGUUUCCAGUGCCUAAUAGACUGCCUUAGUCUGCUGAAGCUCCGUUAUCGAUUGCUAGUACGUGUUUCGAGUUGGGCAUAGAGUCUGAUGUGUUAUGAUGUAUAUACACCCUUGUAUGUUAUAGAUACUCCACAGUUUGUAUAAGCUUUAGAAGCUGCAGUUGUGUAAAUUUUUGUUGGUUAUAUUUUGAUUAAGGUGUCUUUAGGUUUACUCGUGAAAUCAGUUAAUUUCGAAGUACACUUCAUGUAUGUGUUUGACUAGCCUAGGAUUCGUUGUGUUUUGUUGCAUGUAUAAUAGUUUAUAUACUAGAUUGGCAAGUUUAUCACAUUAAAGUUUUAAGCAGAGUCGAUAGAUACAGGUAAAGAAAAGCAUGACAGAUAAGCCAAGAGGAAAUAGGUUGGAUUUACACAUCGGGAAACUAGUCCAAGAUUGUGAGUGACCAAAACCAGUUUUUAAAAAUAUUUUCUUUCUCCUAAAUAUUAACUAUGGUUGACUGAUCUACACGUUUAUUUACAAAGCAUUGAAAAUCAUUUGAAGUCCAUGAUUAUUUUCAAGUAUAAGUUUUGAGACUAGAAUUCUUACUGAAUGUUUAUGCUAGCACGUGAUUAUUGAAUGUCUGGAAAUUAUUUGAACCACUAUGUUUCAAACAAAGUAUGAGUUACCAAGUUUUGUUUUAAGAACUACAGCUUUUCACGAAUAAUCUAACUAAGUUUAAGCUUUACGAAAGAAAAGGAUAGAAGACAUGUUUUAAUGUUUUCAUACGAUUUUUUUGAUGUUUCUAUUAACUACAUGACUGAGGUGUUGAGCCCGAGGCUAUAUGGUACCGUGUGCACACAUGUUAGAUUUCGUUGUUGAUGUUGAGUGUACUCUGUAACAACGAUGCUCGUGAGUGCUGGGCGGACCCCACUACAUCGUAGAGCUUGUAAACGUUGUUGUACUGGGUGUACCCUACACAACGUAGAUUUGUCAUGUUAGUUAAAAUAUUUCGAUAUACUUGGUAGGCCUUGCUAGAUUUCGAUGACAUAUAUACUGAGUAUUUAAGCAAGCUAUUCUUACUACUAUACGUCUAUAUUUACAACUUAUAUAAACAGAUUUAUAAGUGUAAGCUUUCACGUGCUCUUACUUUUAAAUUUCUAGUUUUAAACUGAGUCACUCACUGAGCUUUAUAGCUUACCCUUCCAAAAUGUUUUACACACUUUCCAGGUAGAGAUCGAGUUCCUGGUGCUUGAUAAACUGCCUUAGUCUACUGAAGCUCUGUUAUCGAUUGCUAGUACGUGUUUAGAGUUGGGCAUAAAAUCUGUUGUGUUAUGAUGUAUAUACAUCCUUGUAUGUUAUAGAUACUCCACAGUUUGUAUAAGCUUUAGGAGCUGCGGUUGUGCGAACCUUUGUUGGUUAUAUUUUGGUUAAGGUGUCUCUAGGUUUACUUGUGAAAUUAGUUAUUUCCGAGAUACAUUUCAUGCAUGUAUAUGAUUAGUCUAGGAUUCGCUGUGUUGUGUGCAUGUAUAAUAGUUUAUAUACUAGAUUUGUCACACCCCCUCCCGGACUACUUGCUACCUUAGACUGAAAGAUGGCGUGAAGCCGACAAAUAACGCUUUUCUGUACCUGUAUCUGUCGACUCUGCUUAAAACUUUCAUGUGAUGAACUUGUCAAUCUAGUAUAUAAACUAUUAUACAUGCAACAAAACACAGCGGAUCCCAGGCUAGUCAAACAUAGCUUGUCAAACACAUACAUGAGGUGUACCUCAAAAUUUACCGAUUUCACGAGUAAACCUAAAGACACCUUAAUGAAAAUAUAACCAACAAAAUUUACACAACUACAGCUCCUAAAGCUUAUACAAACUGUGGAGUAUCUAUAACAUACAAGGGUGUAUAUACAUCACAACACAACAGACUCUAUGCCUAACUCAAAACACGUACUGGCAAGCGAUAAUGGAGCUUCAGCAGACUAAGGCAGUCUAUCAGGCACCGGGAACUCGAUCGCUACCUAGAAAAUGGGUAAAACAUUUUGGAAAGGGUGAGCUAUGAAGUUCAGUGAGUGACUCAGUUUAAAACUAUGAAUUUAAAGAUAAGAGCACGUGAAAACUUUACACAUAUAAAUCUGUUUAUACAAGUCGUAAAUGUAAACGUGUAGUAGUAAGAAUAGCUUCCUUAAAUACUCAGCAUGUUCAUCAUUGAAAUCUAGCAAUGCAUAUCAAGUAUAUCGAAGAAUUUUAACUAACAUGACAAAUCUACGUUGUGUAGGGUCCACUCAGUACAACAACGUUUACAAGCUCUACGAUGUAGUGGGGCCCGCCCAGCACUCCCAUCAUCUUUGUCGUAGUGGGGCCCGCCCAACACUCAUGACGGCAUCGUUGUUAGGGAGUACACUCAACGUCAACAACGAAAUCUAACCAAUGUGCACACGGUAAUCUCUAGCCUCAGGCUCAAGAUCUCAGUCAUGUAGUUAAUGAAAAUUUCAUAAAUCAUCUAAAAAUAUUAAAAAAUGCUUGCUUAUAAAUUUUACACAAACCUCGAACUUUACUCAGCUCUUUUGUGGAAAACUGUAGUUCUUAAAACAAAACUUCUUACUAAUUCAUGCUUUGCUUAAGACAUUGUGGUUUAAAUACUUUCCAAACAUUUAAUAUCUACGUGCUAGCAUAAAUUUCUUUAAGAAAUCUAGUCUCCAAAUGUAUACUUGAAAAUAGUCAUGAAAUUCAAAUACCUUUCAUGGCUUCGUAAAUAAACAUUUAUCGCAUUCAAUCAUAAUAACAGUUAUGGAAAAUAUUUCAAAGUUGGUUUUGUCACUCACCGUCUUGGGCUAGAUCCUUGGUCUAUAAGCUCGGUUUAAUUCUUCU